rnacentral:lncRNA from 1 species
GUUGCAAACUCCAUUAGAAAUUUGAAUUGAGAUUAGUUUUGGAAUAAGGGAAAGGGGGAUGUGAUUAAAAAAAAUUGGGUUCAAUUUUUUCUCAUUUCAAAUUUCAUAAAUAAAAAAGAAAAUUUCUUCAAAACAUUUUUAUGCCUCACCUACGAUAGUAGAGGGGCAUUAUGUUUUCUGGUCUGUGCGUCCGUCCGUCCGUCUGUCCCGCUUCAGGUUAAAGUUUUUGGUCAAGGUAGUUUUUGAUGAAGUUUAAGUCCAAUCGACUUCAAACUUAGUACACAUGUCCCCUAUGAUAUGAUCUUUCUAAUUUUAAUGCCAAAUUAGAGUUUUUACCCCAAUUUCACGGUCCACUGAACAUGGAAAAUGAUAGUGCGAGUGGGGCAUUCGUGUACUGAGGACACAUUCUUGUUUUGAGAGGAUUAAUAUUCAACAGCAUAGUGAAUUGCUCUAAGAGAAAAACAAAAAUUUUAAGUUCAUUAGAACACAUUCAUUCUGUGUCAGAAACCUAUGCUGUGUCAACUAUUUAAUCACAAUCCAAAUUUAGAGCUGAAUCCAGCUUGAAUGUUGUGUCCAUACUUGCCCCAACCGUUCAGGGUUCAACCUCUGCGGUCGUAUAAAGCUACGCCCUGCGGAG